GCCGUGUGAGGCUAGGUGGCUCAGUUGGUAGAGCAUGAGCCUCUUAAUCCCAGGGUUGUGAGUUUGAGCCCCACAUGGGGCA